AUUGAACGCUGGCGGCAGGCCUAACACAUGCAAGUCGAGCGGUAGCACAGAGAGCUUGCUCUCGGGUGACGAGCGGCGGACGGGUGAGUAAUGUCUGGGAAACUGCCUGAUGGAGGGGGAUAACUACUGGAAACGGUAGCUAAUACCGCAUAACGUCGUAAGACCAAAGUGGGGGACCUUCGGGCCUCAUGCCAUCAGAUGUGCCCAGAUGGGAUUAGCUAGUAGGUGGGGUAACGGCUCACCUAGGCGACGAUCCCUAGCUGGUCUGAGAGGAUGACCAGCCACACUGGAACUGAGACACGGUCCAGACUCCUACGGGAGGCAGCAGUGGGGAAUAUUGCACAAUGGGCGCAAGCCUGAUGCAGCCAUGCCGCGUGUGUGAAGAAGGCCUUCGGGUUGUAAAGCACUUUCAGCGGGGAGGAAGGCGGUGAGGUUAAUAACCUCAUCGAUUGACGUUACCCGCAGAAGAAGCACCGGCUAACUCCGUGCCAGCAGCCGCGGUAAUACGGAGGGUGCAAGCGUUAAUCGGAAUUACUGGGCGUAAAGCGCACGCAGGCGGUCUGUCAAGUCGGAUGUGAAAUCCCCGGGCUCAACCUGGGAACUGCAUUCGAAACUGGCAGGCUAGAGUCUUGUAGAGGGGGGUAGAAUUCCAGGUGUAGCGGUGAAAUGCGUAGAGAUCUGGAGGAAUACCGGUGGCGAAGGCGGCCCCCUGGACAAAGACUGACGCUCAGGUGCGAAAGCGUGGGGAGCAAACAGGAUUAGAUACCCUGGUAGUCCACGCCGUAAACGAUGUCGAUUUGGAGGUUGUGCCCUUGAGGCGUGGCUUCCGGAGCUAACGCGUUAAAUCGACCGCCUGGGGAGUACGGCCGCAAGGUUAAAACUCAAAUGAAUUGACGGGGGCCCGCACAAGCGGUGGAGCAUGUGGUUUAAUUCGAUGCAACGCGAAGAACCUUACCUGGUCUUGACAUCCACAGAACUUAGCAGAGAUGCUUUGGUGCCUUCGGGAACUGUGAGACAGGUGCUGCAUGGCUGUCGUCAGCUCGUGUUGUGAAAUGUUGGGUUAAGUCCCGCAACGAGCGCAACCCUUAUCCUUUGUUGCCAGCGGUUAGGCCGGGAACUCAAAGGAGACUGCCAGUGAUAAACUGGAGGAAGGUGGGGAUGACGUCAAGUCAUCAUGGCCCUUACGACCAGGGCUACACACGUGCUACAAUGGCAUAUACAAAGAGAAGCGACCUCGCGAGAGCAAGCGGACCUCAUAAAGUAUGUCGUAGUCCGGAUUGGAGUCUGCAACUCGACUCCAUGAAGUCGGAAUCGCUAGUAAUCGUAGAUCAGAAUGCUACGGUGAAUACGUUCCCGGGCCU
rnacentral:rRNA from 1 species